rnacentral:lncRNA from 1 species
GUCAACAAAACCCAACUUAGGUGGAAUGAUUUCAUCCUGUUCUACAUACUGAGUGCCUUGCCAACAUCACUGCUCCUAGCAUGGUCUAUCCCAGGUACAAGCUAAUGGGGUGCAGGGCUGCAGCAUUUCUGUGCAGAUUAGUGGAGCCCUGAACUAAAAGAUGCUGGAUCUGUCAUAUGUGGGCAGGAUCCCACUUGGCUUUAGAGUCUAAUGGCCUCUGGGAACUAUCUGAACCCUUUUCUCUUUAACAAGUCCCUUCCCAUUCCCAACAUCAGCUAACCACCAUCCCAUGCAGAAAGAAGAAAAGCUACCACAAAAUGGCAGCUAAAUUGUGAUGACCUUGUCAGUGGCUCCAGGCCUGGAUUUGUCACUAGUGUCUUUCAUGUGGAAGGUAUUAAGGGAGCAGUGACACAGGCUAGAAGAAAGGGCUGGAGCCACCGUGUCAGGAACGUCAAACAUCACACAGCACAUGGUGCUGCUCUGCAGGGCUUCUUUUCCCUGGCCCCUUCCCUUGAAAUAGUUUUCCUUAAAUCAUUAAACUUUGCGUUUCCUUUCAGCUCCACAGAGAAGCCCAGCAAAUACAGAAAUAGUCUCUGGAGAUGUUCUGCAGAUAUUUCUGCUUCUUCAGUCUGUGUCUUUUCCUUCCAACCCAAAGGAGGUGCUCCCUGGGCCACGGGUCGGACACAGCAUCCCUCCCUGGAUUUGAGAACCUCACCACGGGAUACAACAAGUACCUCCGGCCCUACUUUGGUGGAGAACCUGUUCAAAUUGCAAUGAGUCUGGAC